UACGUAGGGUGCGAGCGUUGUCCGGAUUUAUUGGGCGUAAAGAGCGUGUAGGCGGUUUGGUAGGUCCGUUGUGAAAACUCGAGGCUCAACCUCGAGACGCCGGCGGAAACCAUCAGGCUAGAGUCCGGAAGAGGAGAGUGGAAUUCCUGGUGUAGCGGUGAAAUGCGCAGAUAUCAGGAAGAACACCCGUGGCUAAGGCGGCUCUCUAGUACGGUACUGACGCUGAGACGCGAAAGCGUGGGGAGCGAACAGG
rnacentral:rRNA from 1 species